rnacentral:lncRNA from 1 species
CAAGAACCUUACCCAGUCUGCAAAGUGACAAGGUUCUGUAUCUUGCAUUGUCACAGAACAUAGCAGUGUCCAAUUCUAACAUUAACCUAACUUAGGACAAAAACAGAAUCUUGGAAAGUUCUAUUUCCUUGGGAAAGUUCGCUAUAUGAAAUGUAAAUCUGUUCUCCCGGGUCCACAGGAGAAUCAUCAGAGGUGGUCAGAGUAACGGAGCUACAGGCAACCACAUUCCUCUUCCCCUCACAUCUGGUAUGGAUUUACAGUGAUGAAAAAAAAAGGAAUCAUUUAAAUUAGGAAACUUAAUUCCAAACAGCAAAGUGGGAAACAGUUGAGAUGGACCAGAAACUGCAACUCAGAGAAACCACAGGAUGUCUUGUGAAACAGGCAAUUUGCGUGCGAUAGAGGAGAAAUUCCAUAGGACAGUGGAAUAUUACUUGGUCAUGUUAUAAAGGAUGAUUGUGUUAGCUCAACACGUUAGAAUCCUCCAUUUUGUCCCUCCUAUUGGCAAUGCACAAGUGUGGCUUGGAAUGAAGGGACUGUGUGGUUGCCAGGGUGACCCCAAGGACCAGUUAUUGCACAUAUGGUUCUGCAAAUGGAAGUUCCUGAGUCGGACCAAUGGCAGGAAAGAAGAUUUGCGAACUCGCCCAGGGCAAAGCUGGUGUAAAGUUUUAGAUAAAUGUUCAGAAUUAACCACCUCCUGUUACUCCUAAGUCUCCACAGAUACCAUGUUUUUAAGCCUCCUUUGGGACAAUCACUGGCUGGAAACACCAGAGCAAAAGAGAGGCAAAAUAUCGAUAGAUAUCAGAUGUAGGAUCAAGUUUAACCCCAUUCAAUAUCAGUAAUAUCAUUGUCUUCUUUGCAAUAUACUUCCUCAUGGACUGUACCAGCUACAACUGGGUAUCUUGGGUUUUCUAGGAGGAAGCACCAAUAAAUGAAAGAUUAGGCCCUUGGAGAACAUAAAAAAUGUGAUUCUCAACCCACCACACUUUUACGAAUGAGUCUACAAAAAGGUCACACCCUUCUAUGAAAGGCUUUUGAUUCACUUUCAGUAGGGAAAACGUAAGCAGAAAGGAUAAAGAGGAAAAAGUUGGCGUCAGGAAAACAGCUUUAUUUGCAGCAAAGUGAUCAGAGCUGCCGUACGAUUGCUUCAGGCUUCUACUCAGCACUCCUUGUCCACACUUGAGGGCUUGCUCUGAUCUCUUCCCAGAAUCGACUACCAGAUAAUUACCUGUCCCUGAGCGAUUGGGGCUGAGAACUAAGACUCCGAAUAUCAAUAAACACCUCUGUUAAUUAUUAAGCCUUUAAAGGUGUUUGAUUUCUUCCCCCACCGUGGCCCACCUGCACAGGAGUUCCUCUUUGAGGGCAACAAGCAUGGAGGCUGAGAGUUAAUGAUUAGACCCACAUUCUUGCACAAAAGGAAACCAAAUCAGAACCAGACUAACCAGAGGAGGCUGAAGAAAAUUAAUAGGUGGCAGAAAACCUUAUAAAAAGAAAACAAGGGAACUUUGCUGCAGAACAACAGCCCUUCGAAUGUCCGAGUGGGAAGAGACAGAGAGCAUCCUGUCCAACCCCUCCUGUAUUGAAAGCCGAAACAGAAAAUGACCGUCUGUUGGUUACAGAUCUGAGGAUAAGCCCCGCCAAGGACGCCGGAUGUGUGCUCACGGACUGUCUGGGCCCGCUGCAUCGAAGGCUUCCCCACCUGGGAUUCCCUCUCAGUAAUCUACAUGUUCUCAAGACAUGGGGAGGAGAAGAAAAGCAACCUUAUCAUUCAGGGAUUACGACCUUCCUUGGCUCCAACGAUUCAACUUUAAAUAUUUACUUGGCAGCUGAUUCAAAUUCAAAUAAACUUGCAGUUAUUGGGUGAAAUAAAGUGUGCCCCAUACUCAAAGCACUUAUAAUGUGUGGAAAUUUUUCAACUGUCCUAAUAUUUAUGUUUCCAGUUUGACCCAGAGUAAGUUGCGUCACUUAUUACAGAAUGACAUGAGGUUACGGCCAACCCCAAAGAUCUCAGUCAAGGAAUCUUCUCUGAUGCUGCAUUUGACUUCCCAGAGUCUGCAAAACUAAGUCCUUCCUGAAAAACAGUGAAUCUAUAUGAUAUGUGUGUGCGUACAGCUUGGUGACGAAUGCCAGGCGUAUUUCUAACAUUUCAGAACAACUCAAAGAACUAGCAACUAGAGAAACCUUCACGUAACCACCUCCACUUCAUAUUAAUUCUUCUCUUCGUCCUCCCUCAAAGUGAUUGGACUAUGUUAUCCUAUUCUUCUUGCGUUCCCCACUUUCCCUAGCAUAGAUUUUAUAUCUACAGAAGCUGGACUUUAACCGCUUUAGAGGGAGGAGCCCUUUACUUACAGCAGAUACUCAGCAGAUAUUUGGGAAGGAACAAAUGAACAAAUGGAUGAAUGAGUGAUUACCUGAUUCAGACAAAGUCCCUUUGCUAACGAGGUCUUCUUGCUACCUAUCUCCUUCACUCCUAGCUCCAAUAUUCUUUGGAAUUCCAAGGUU